UUUAAUCCUUUUAUUUUGUUUAAUUCAUAUUAAUUUCAUUUUUAAUCCAAAAAAUAUGGGACUUUCAUCAAAAACCUUUAAAUAUUUUUCUCUUUCAUAUUAUGUAUUAAAAUUAUUUUUUGGAUUAAUUUUGAUAUUUUUCAUGAAUUAAAUGCUUUUGUGCAUGUUUUUAAUUGUUUAAAAAAUACUUCUGACUUUUCAAAAAUGAUGAAAUUUUUUGUAUAAGGUCCUUGACCUUG
rnacentral:lncRNA from 1 species